rnacentral:lncRNA from 1 species
CAGACUUUUUAUUCUUGUGAUUAGAUUUUAUAUUACAGAGUCUGCACCCUCCUAUUUAGGAAUCUGAAAACAGAUAUUUUCUGGUUUACACUGAGUCUUGAAUAUCUCUUCAGCUGCUUCCUAAUGUUUGUUCCACAGGAAGGGAGCUAGUUCAUAGCAUACAUAGUGUGCUUUGUUGUAUCUGCAUCAGCAAAGUAGAUAAGCUCAGCCUCUCUUCAUCUGAAAAGGGAACAGAGGAGCAGCAGCAGGAGACAGUGCAAUGCUUCAGGAUAUUGUGAAGAUUUCAGGCAACAAGACGACUUUCAGCUGUAUCCAACACUCCAGCUGUGUUUGAUUUGCCUCUUAAUCAGAGAUUUCAAAAAUCAGGCUCCAUCUGCUAAAGAAUUCAAAGGCCAAAUUCUCUGCUGGCAUAUUUGAUGCAUAUAUGAUGCAAUUUGAAGUCUCCACUGGGUCUUCACCACUUUUUGUUACAGAGAACACAGGACAUUUUUUAUUAUUGUUAUAAUUUUGUAUAAACAAGGAUACAAUUGAAAUAGAAGCACUUUCUUUCACAGAUCCUGGAUUUGAGAGGCUAUUUAUGAACAUCAAACUGUGGUCCAUUUCUCCCUGGAGUAUCAUGCAGAUGUGCAGCUGCACAGCUGCAGCUCUUCAACACCAGUGGAAGUGUGAGCUAUCCACAGACACCAGUAAAAAGCCAGGCCCAUGCAGGCCACACAAGGACCUGCAUCUAUAUCCAGAGCAAAAACUCCACAGUUGUCUCAAGGGAGCAAAGUUUCUCUCAUGCCUGAUUCAUAACCAGAAGAGAAUUUCUCAGAAAUUGGAUUUUAGCAUUUGUCAGCCACAAGUUGUCAACCAAGCCUAUUUUCUCCUGGUAAGUUCCCACCUGUGUCUCUUUCAUAGUUACAGCACUAUAUUUUAA